UACAGAGACCUCAAGCGUUAUCCGGAAUCAUUGGGCGUAAAGCGUACCGAUAGGUGGUUGAAAUAGUCUUGGGUAAAAGCCAGAAGCUCAACUUCUGCGUUUGCUUAAGAUACUUUUCGACUAGAGGGGCAAAGAGGUGCUUGGAACGAAUGGUGUAGUAGUGAAAUGCGUUGAUACCAUUCGGAACACCGAAAGCGAAGGCAGGGCACUGGGUGCCACCUGACACUGCUAGGACGAAAGCGUGGGUAGCGAAUGGG
rnacentral:rRNA from 1 species